GUCGGUGUCAACUGGCAUGUCCUGUGGAACGUCCUGCCGGUGGCGGACCGGGCUUUCGGCUUGCGUAAGGGCUUACGCCCGAAGCAGGCCGAACAGUACCGGCCGCCGGUCCAAUCCCGCCACGGUGCUCUUCACCGAGUGUCGAGGUGGGCCGGCACGUUUACUUUGAACAAAUUAGAGUGCUUAAAGCAGGCUGGUGUCCGCCUGAAUACUGUGUGCAUGGAAUAAUAGAAUAGGACCUCGGUUCUAUUUUGUUGGUUUUCGGAACCCGAGGUAAUGAUUAAUAGGGACAGGCGGGGGCAUUCGUAUUGCGACGUUAGAGGUGAAAUUCUUGGAUCGUCGCAAGACGAACCUAAGCGAAAGCAUUUGCCAAGUAUGUUCUCGUUAAUCAAGAACGAAAGUUAGAGGUUCGAAGGCGAUCAGAUACCGCCCUAGUUCUAACCAUAAACGAUGCCAGCCAGCGAUCCGCCGAAGUUCCUCCGAUGACUCGGCGGGCAGCUUCCGGGAAACCAAAGCUUUUGGGUUCCGGGGGAAGUAUGGUUGCAAAGCUGAAACUUAAAGGAAUUGACGGAAGGGCACCACCAGGAGUGGAGCCUGCGGCUUAAUUUGACUCAACACGGGAAACCUCACCAGGCCCGGACACCGGAAGGAUUGACAGAUUGAGAGCUCUUUCUUGAUUCGGUGGGUGGUGGUGCAUGGCC
rnacentral:rRNA from 1 species